UAGUAACUGGCGAGUGAAGCGGCAAUAGCUCAAAUUUGAAAUCUGGCUUCCUUGGAAGUCCGAGUUGUAAUUUGCAGAGGGCGCUUUGGCGUCGGUAGCGGUCUAAGUUCCUUGGAACAGGACGUCACAGAGGGUGAGAAUCCCGUACGUGGUCGACUACCUUCGCCGUGUAAAGCCCCUUCGACGAGUCGAGUUGUUUGGGAAUGCAGCUCUAAAUGGGAGGUAAAUUUCUUCUAAAGCUAAAUACUGGCCAGAGACCGAUAGCGCACAAGUAGAGUGAUCGAAAGAUGAAAAGCACUUUGGAAAGAGAGUCAAACAGCACGUGAAAUUGUUGAAAGGGAAGCGCUUGCCGCCAGACGUGCCCGUGGUGGUUCUCCUCCGCGGGCAGGCCAGCAUCAGUUUGGGCGAUCGGAUAAAGGCCUCUGUCAUGUAUCUCCCUUCGGGGUGACCUUAUAGGGGAGGCGUAAUGCGAUCAGCCUGGACUGAGGUCCGCGCAUCUGCUAGGAUGCUGGCGUAAUGGCUGUAAGCGGCCCGUCUUGAAACACGGACCAAGGAGUCUAACAUCUAUGCGAGUGUUUGGGUGUCAAGCCCGAGCGCGUAAUGAAAGUGAACGGAGGUGGGAACCCUUUGGGUGCACCAUCGACCGAUCCUGAAGUCUUCGGAUGGAUUUGAGUAAGAGCAUGGCUGUUGGGACCCGAAAGAUGGUGAACUAUGCUUGAAUAGGGUG
rnacentral:rRNA from 1 species